rnacentral:lncRNA from 1 species
AGGGAUGUUGUAUUGGGUUGCCCAACCCAACCCAACUCUAUUUAGUUUAAGCUCAACCCAAAGUGAGCCCUAACCCUUUUAGAACCCAUCAUAUUAUUUGUAUUAGGGUUGAACCCUUCCUAACCCUUUUUGAGCCCUUUAAUUUUUUUUUUUUAUGUAAACACAUUUUACUGUAAUCUCUUACAAAAUUAUAUAUUUUAUAUACUAAUACAUA